UUCCAGCCACAGAAUCAUAUCAAAUAAGAAUCUGAACGUGAAACAUUUAAAUCAUUUACAAGAGACAGAAAUGAAAAGCAAAAUUAUUUUCUUCUAUUUUGUCAUUUGCUUGGGGCAGGCUGUAUUUUCCGAGCACUGUGACUGUAAAAAUAAGUGUGAAUGCAAUGGGGGAGACAAUUGUGAACCGGCCAACUCAGGCUUUCAACCUCAAUUAAAUGAAAUCAACAAACCACAAAAUGGACAGCUUCAUCAACCUUUGUUUGAUCAAAGUCCAUUUGGCCAACUUAACGCACAGAACCAGCCAAGAAGAGGUCCACCAAAUUUUCGGCCAAAGCAUACACCGAAAAAUGACAAGCCAAACAGAAAACCUGAACACUUACCUAUUCAAAUGGUUCCAGACAACAGCCGUCCAGCUAAUCAAAUACCAUGAUUGACCAUAUUAAAAACUAAAAUAUGUCGAAAAUUCGAUAAAUUAAUAUUCUUUGUAAAACAAAAUUUCUCUUUAAAAUAAACAAUUGGCGCAAUUUUUAA